rnacentral:rRNA from 1 species
CACGUAGGGCGCAAGCGUUGUCCGGAAUUAUUGGGCGUAAAGAGCUCGUAGGCGGUCUGUUGCGUCCGCUGUGAAAACUCGGGGCUUAACCCCCGAGCCUGCGUGGAUACGGGCAGACUAGAGGUAGGUAGGGGAGAAUGGAAUUCCCGGUGUAGCGGUGAAAUGCGCAGAUAUCGGGAGGAACACCGGUGGCGAAGGCGGUUCUCUGGGCCGAUACUGGACGCUGAGGAGCGAAAGCGUGGGGAGCGAACAGG